GAAUAAGUGUCUACAAGAAUCUAUAUCAAUUACAAUAGAGGAGAAAUCAAAGAGGGAGAAAACAAGGACUACGAACACCGGGUAGCUACCUCAUAAAUCUCCAAAAAUCAACCGAGCACGAGAUCAAUGCCCACCUUGUCCGGAAACACCUGGAUCUGCACAUGAAGUGCAAGGUGUAGCCUGAGUACAACCAACUCAGUAAGUAACAAUAAUAAAUAAGGAAUUGAAGAUAGUGACGAGCUACACAGUUAUAGUUAAUUUUCAGUAAUUUUUGUAAGGAGUAGACAUUCUUUCAAAUCCUGCAAUUUAAGUCAAAUCAGUUUUAUUUAGUUUCACAUUCAAGAAAAUAAAAUAGAUACAAAAUCUUCCUGAAAAUUUCAAAAAAAAAAAUGAUAGAUAGCAACUAAGUGCAAUAACAAAUGAAACCAAGUACAGCCUGUCAGGGCAACAAUCACUUAGCUCUCCUCAACAGCUCAAUCAAUUGGCUCUCAGCCCUCUGUACUCACACUCAAUAGGUACGUCCUCUCACUAAAGGUGCACAAACUCUGGAUGGGCUCCUUUAGCCCAAACGCUAUAUUGUUGCGGCAUGCAUCCCGAUCUAAAUACUAAAUAGCUGUAAGGCUCCUUGCGACGCGCAACCCAAUGCAUAUUAAUUCAUCCCUCAGGCUCAUUGCGGCGUGCAACCGGUCCAUACAUACACACACAACUCACAGCUCGGCACUCAGGCCCUAUCUCAAUCACCAACCUCUCCAGUCCCUAGGCUCUCAUAAAUCAUAUAUAUCAACCCAAACAGAGAUAGUAACAUGUAUCAACAAGGAACAUAUAGCUAACAAUAAUUUAUUUGAAUUUAAAGCUUCCCGGGACGGACCAAAUCACUAUCUGUCACGACCCUAAACCCGAACCCGAUCAUGAUGGCGCCUCUCAUGAAGACAAGCCCAACCCACACAUUCCCAAUUCAUUUUUAAGUAGUUAAGAUAAUUCAAGUAAGCCUUAAACAUAAUAAAUAUCCUAAAUAGAUAAGGUGAAACGGUACAAUUGCGGAAAAUAAAACCACUACAGCCCGAUAGCGGGGUGUCAAUAGUCAUGAGCAUGCAUCAAUAUAAUACAAGUCUGAAGCAUCUACAAAGCUAUUAUAGAAUCACUAAAAAGAGAAAGUAAAUGAGAUAAAGGGGGAGAAGCACAGGGCUGCAAACGCCGAAUCUGCUCAUAGGGUGCAAGGAGUAAAGUGAGUACUCCAACUCAAUGAGUAAUAAUCAUAAAUAAAGACUAAGAAAUAUGAAAUCAUGUAAGGCACAUUACAGGCUAUAAUGAAAUAGUAAAAGCCAAUAGAAACAGUGAAUCAGUGAAGAUAUGUAAAGUCAUUUUAGUUCAGUUUAAACUUUAUGAAAUGCCUUUUAACAAUUAAGCAGGUAAAUGACAAGCAACUAGGAAAGAUAAACACAUAAAGGAUUGCCCCUCGAGCAAUAUCAUAGAACAACACCAGCCCCUUGGGCUAUAUCUGACAUCAUAAUGGGUACUCACGCUCAUUGGGGGUGUGCAGACUCCUGGAGGGCCCCUUACGGCCCAAACGCAAUAUCAAACCAUCUCGUGGCAUCAUCACUAGGCUCUCGGCCUCAUAUCAACAAGCCACCUCGUGGCGUACAAAUCUCAGGCCCUCGACCUCAUAAUCAUAAUCAGUGUUUCCUCACAACAUAGGCCCUCGACCUUACUCAGUCAGAAUCUCAUAAGCCAUUCGGGCAACAGUAAAACAUGAUGCUCAGCCCCAAAAUAUCAUUUAAAAAUAUCAUCUUAAGUGUUAAAGUAGAGUAAACAUGGUUGAGUUAUGAAAACAGUAGAAUAUAGCAUGACUGAGUACUAGUAUAAAGUCAAAACAGUGAGGAAAUAUCAGUAAAAAUCCCCUAAAGGUCCAAAUAGUUGGUACGAGAUCCAAAUAUGGCAUUCAUCCCAAAACAUGAUGAUAGCAAUUCGUUUUUAAUCAAAUAAGUGAUAAAACAGUCAUUCGGGAUGGACUAAGUCACAAUCCCCAAUGGUGCCCGACCCCAUGCACGUCAUCUAGAGUGUGUGUCACCUCAAUGUAGCACCAUAAUGUGCAAUCCGGUGUUUCACACCCGUAGGACAACAUUUACGAUCAUUACUCACAUCGAUCCAGUUCAAACUCUAGCCUUUGAUGCCAUUUUUCCUUGAAUCAGCCUCAACUAGCGUCGAAUCUAUCUAAAUCAGAAUCACGACGUCAAAAUAUGCUAAAGGAACGAAGCCCAUGCGAAAAUAAUCAAUUUACAACAUCAAUCACGAAAUUGCUCAAACUCGGCCCCCGGGUCCACACCUCGGAACCCAACAAAUAUCACCUCAAUAGAAUCCUCAUCCUCCCACGAGUCUAUACAUAUCAAGAACAUCAAAUUCGGACCUCAAAUGGCCCUUCAAAUUCCCACUCGAAGGUCUCUUAAUCUCAAGCCCUAAUUACCCAUUUUGCACUAAUUUUCCCAAAAUUUCAUCACUAAUUAGUCCUUUAAUCACAUAUAAAUGUGUUAUGAAGUCAAAAAUCUUACCUCCACGAGAUUAUCCUUUGAUUUUCUCUUCAAUUAGCUCUUCAAAGCUUUCUCCCGAAUGAAAUAGGGUGAAAACCCACUCAAAAUCGCGAAGGGGACCUUUUAUACUUUCUGACCCAGCAAUUUUCGCACCUGCGGCCCUUUUAUUGCUCCUACGGUCAUGCUUCUGCGGCUAAUCCACCGCAUAUACGGUUUUUCAAUUAACUGGCCGUUUCUGCAUCUGCAGUUAAAAACUCGCACAUGCGCUACCGCAGGUGCGCCCACUUCACCGCUUCUGCGGUUCCUGAAGAACUUCCUCUUGGCCGCAUCUGUGGUUAUCUUCCGCUUCUGCGAGCAUCGCACUUGCGGCCUCCCAACCGCAAGUGCGGUUAUGAUAGCAGCUAAAAUGCCUCAACUGUCCUAACUCGACUUCAAACCUUCCGCCAACCAUCCGAAAUCAUCCCGAGGCCCCCGGGACCUCAACUAAAAGCACAAACCUGUCAUAUACCACUACCCAAACUUAUACCAUUCUUUGAAACAUCUCAAACAAUAUCGAAUCCAUCAAAUCACAUCGAAUUCAAGCCUAAGGUUCCAAAAUCUUCUGAAAUUCCGCUUUUGAUCAAAAGGUCUACCAAACCACGUCUGAAUGAUCUGAAAUUUUUCACACACAUCCCAAAUGACACAACGGACCUACUGAAACUCCCAAAAUUCCAUUUCGACCACUAUAUCAUAAUCUCACCUAUCAACCGGAAAACGUCAAAAUUCUAAUUUCGCCAAUUCAAGCCUAAACCUUCCAUGGACCUCCAAAACACAUUUCGAUCAUGCUCCUAAGUCCCAAAUCACCUAAUGGAGCUAACCAAAUCAUAAAAAUUCCGAUUCGAGAUGAUAUACCAACAAUUCUAAUCUUGGUCAAACCUUUUAAAUUUUAAGCUUCAAACUGAGAACUGUUUCUUCAAAAUUCAUUUCGGUUACCCCGAAACCAAAACCGAUGAUUUACAUAAGUCAUAAUGUCACACAUCCUUUUGUACUACCCCCGUAAGGGUAUAAAAGAAGUUUUUCCAAUUUAAGUGACAAUCGAAAUAGGAUUAUUUAUUUAUUAAAUUCAGAGUCGCCACUCGAGAUAAUUUAUGGUGUCUCAAGUCACCGGUUUAGAACCUGAAUCGAGGAAAAGAUUUACUCUAUUUUACAGUCCGCGAACACAAAAAUCCGGGUAAGGAAUUCUGUUAACCCGGGAGAAGGUGUUAGGCAUUCCUGAAUUCCGUGGUUCUAGCAUGGUCGCUCAACUGUUAUAAUUGGCCUAUUAUCUGAUUCUAAUGCAUGUUUUAACCUAUGGUAGAAUUUUAACUUUAUAACUGCUUUUGUUUAAUUAUUUUUAGGAAAGAUUCAACAUCAUCUAAAACACGUCUUGAACCACGUCACAUAAAUGCACUCGCGGUCCACGACACAUUUUGUCUAACGUUGUUGAGAUUUGGAUUUGGGUCACAUAAAUGCACACCCGAAUUUAGGAAGGUAAUUUUUAAAAUAGUGCGCCUAAAGCAACUAUGCACUUUCAAGUUUGGGAGGGCCAUGGAAAUUUCGCUAAUGGCACAUCUCGAUUUCUAAAGGUUCAAAUUAAAUAAGUGAGGGUCAUGCAUUUUGAGGUUUUAUUUGGCAUGACACACCUCAAUUUUAUUAAAGGAAAUGCAUUCAACUAAGUGAACUAUGGAUAUUCAUUUUUAGAGCCAAUUUGAAAUUAAGUAUCACAACUACGUCACGGGAACCAUACCCCUAAUAAUGAUGAGUUAAUUAUGUGCCUAAAGCUCAAGAGAAAAGGAUUCAUUUAUGUUGUUGUCUUAUACCAAACACCAAACAAUCACAAAAAGAUCAAAUCUUCCACAAAUUAAAUGGAUUCAACUGCUAAACAAUUACAAACAAAGAUCAUAACUUUAACAGAUUAAACUUAUCCAAAACAAAACUACUACUGCUACCAAUACCUCAACCAAAUACCAAGUUCUUCCUAAACUACUAACAAACAGAAAAUGACAUAAUCAAUUGUGUGAAUUCCGAACAGAAAAGGAAGGAAAGAACGUUAAUUAAUCUAUGUAUAGAAUCACGAAACUGGCAUAUGUAUAGAAUCUGAAAUAGUCCAAAAGUAAUCCUUUAACCAUCUUAAAAAAUUAAAGGGACGAACUAAAAUAAUAGUAUUACAUUACAAUAUUACCUGAAGGUGUUUGAGUGAGUAACAGCUAUUCAACAACAAAAUCGAGUAUCAACCGAAAAAAUCAGCAGAAAUGCGAAUCGGAACCUCGACGAACUACCUCGACCUCGAUAGUAUCUCAGUCACGAUUUUAAAAGAUAUUGAAUGGACAAUUACUGAAAAUCCAAGUGAAGCUUAAGAACAGAUUCAAAUUCCUCCCAUGCUCACAAAGCUCCACUGGUUCGCUGUAGAUUUGAACAACGGCAAGACCAAACUACGACCAAAAUGGCAAAACUUUAUAUAAAUGGUAACGGAGGAGGUUGUGAGUUAGCAGAAAGUGAAGUUGGUGAUGGUAGCAGUGGUACUGCCGUGUGCUGGGAUUAUCGUUUGGCAAUUACGAAAUGCAGAGCUGAAAUUUCAUCGCAUCCAUUGUAUAAGACAGCAUUGUAACUAGUGGAGAGUGCUCAUUUUUGAGAGGUGAGGGAUCCUGCUGGUUUUUGUUUAGAGAAGAAAAGGUCUAAAAAUGGCUGAAGGGUCUAAGGUUCUCUUCUCAUUGUUGCUCCUUUGUUUUUUUCGAAGAAGUUGAAAUGGCUGUGUUAGAGAAGAAAAUUGACAUGGGAGGAAUUCAUUUUUUGUUCAGCAGCUGAAAGUUUGAAGAAGACGAUGUCAGGGAUCCUUCGUUUUUUUCGUUUGCGGCUUCUCCUUCUUAGGUCCUCUAGGGUUCUUUUGGUUUUUGUGUAUUUCCUUAGAUCUUUCUU
rnacentral:lncRNA from 1 species